UUAGAGAGAGAGAGAGAGGGGAUGGGCGUAGUGAUGAAGAAAGGGAGGUCGCUGGAGUCGACGGCAACGUGGGCAGUGGCGGUGGUUUGUUUUGUGCUGAUUGCCGUAUCGAUUGUCAUUCACAAAUGCAUUCAUCCUAUUCAAUCAUGGUUGAAGAAGAAACGAAGAUCAUCUCUAUGUGAAGCAUAUGAAAACACUAAAACAGAGCUUAUGAUGUUGGGGUUCAUGUCAUUACUGGUGUCGCUUGCACAACCAUACAUUUCAAAAAUAUGUGUUCCCAAUAGUGUUGGACACUCUUGGCAUCCAUGCAAAGACGAAAAUGAAUCACAAUAUCAAGAUCAAGAUCCAU